CUGCAAUACUGCCAUUAGAGAUCAAAUAAGAUGGAAUUGCCAGUAUUUGGAAAAUUGGUUAUUCACAAUUUUAAAUAGUAGGCCUAUUCUGUUUUAUUUAAUGGUUCCAAUCUGUCAUGUGGAGUGACCAGAACUACACUGUUAUAUCAGGGUGUUGUAACUAAGGCAGUUGGAGUAGACUUGGUAUCUAACCAGAACUACACUGUUUUAUCAGGGUGUUGUAACUAAGGCAGUUGGAGUAGACUUGGUAUCUAACCAGAACUACACUGUUUUAUCAGGGUGUUGUAACUAAGGCAGUUGGAGUAGACUUGGUAUCUAACCAGAACUACACUGUUAUAUUAGGGGGUUGUAACCAAGGCAGUUGGAGUAGACUUGGUAUCUAACCAGAACCAGAACUACACUGUUAUAUUAGUGUGUUGUAACUAAGGCAGUUGGAGUAGACU
ensembl:lncRNA